GGAGACGUGGCAUUCAAUACAGUUAUCUGUGCAGCCUGCUAUAGGGAAAUGGCUGGAGGGUAGAGCUCCCUUCCAGCCCCUGUGACAAGCAGGUGUGUGAAGGGACACAGCGAGCAGGUGGAUGUUUGGUGGCUUUCCAGGGUCAAAGCACCGCAGCCCUGCGAUGCCACCAGGAGGUUGAGUGUCAUCAGCCACGUCCCUCUCUGUCUCCAUUCACUGUAAUGGGAGCAGAGUCUGGCGCACCCACAGGGAUGGGGCAUCCACGGCCUCUGGGCAGCAGUGCAGGGCCUCAGCUCCCUCUGUGAACACCUUCCCCCACAUCUAAUCCAAAUCUCCAUUCCUUUACAUUAAAACCAUUCCCCUUUGUCCCAUCUCCCCACAAGAAAAGUUCAUUUUCCUCCUGUUUAUCAUCUCCCUUGAAACAGUGGGAGGCUAUCACCACGAUGGGGCCCCAUAGAGCCCCAUAGAGCCCCAUAGAGCCCCAUAGAGCCCCAUAGAGGCCCAUAGAGCCCCAUAGAGCCCCAUAGCCGCCCCAUAGAGCCCCAUAGAGCCCCAUAGAGCCCCUAGCCGCCCCAUAGAGCCCCAAUAGCGCCCCAUA
ensembl:lncRNA